GUGCUUGCUUCAGCAGCACAUAUAUUAAAACUGGAAGAACAGAGAAAAGAUUAGCAUGGCUCCUGAGCAAGGAUGACACUCAAGAUCAUGAAGCAUUCCAUAUUUUA